GAUGAACGCUGGCGGCGUGCCUAAUACAUGCAAGUCGAGCGAACAGAUAAGGAGCUUGCUCCUUUGAAGUUAGCGGCGGACGGGUGAGUAACACGUGGGUAACCUACCUAUAAGACUGGGAUAACUUCGGGAAACCGGAGCUAAUACCGGAUAACAUUUAGAACCGCAUGGUUCUAAAGUGAAAGAUGGUUUUGCUAUCACUUAUAGAUGGACCCGCGCCGCAUUAGCUAGUUGGUAAGGUAACGGCUUACCAAGGCGACGAUACGUAGCCGACCUGAGAGGGUGAUCGGCCACACUGGAACUGAGACACGGUCCAGACUCCUACGGGAGGCAGCAGUAGGGAAUCUUCCGCAAUGGGCGAAAGCCUGACGGAGCAACGCCGCGUGAGUGAUGAAGGGUUUCGGCUCGUAAAACUCUGUUAUUAGGGAAGAACAAAUGUGUAAGUAACUGUGCACAUCUUGACGGUACCUAAUCAGAAAGCCACGGCUAACUACGUG
rnacentral:rRNA from 1 species